GGGGAUGUAGCUCAGAUGGUAGAGUGUUCUCUUAGUAUGCGAGAGGUUGUGGGAUCGAUACCCCCACUUCUCCA